UCUGCAGGGAACAUUCAUCAGUGUCCUUCAGAAGCCUCCGCCUGGGACACUCCAGCCUCGGAGGACAGGAAGAAGGAGCACAUUCAGCAAAAUAGAAUGAGCUGGAACAAUGUGUGAGGUCGGCGGGGAUGCGCGAGCAAGUGCACUCUGUACCCUGGAGGCCGAGUGAAAAGAGACAAAAUGUUUUAAGAAAGAGUGACCAUUUGUGUCCAGUGCUGGCAUUUGGAACAAUAAGGAUAGAGAACUAACAAUUGAAGUGGACAAUGCGAAGCCAGUUUCCUUGGAAUGCUGGAGACAAAGCUGUUCUGAAGAGAAUGGAAGGGAAGAGAGUCAAGCCCUUUGGGGAGUUUCACCCCACAGAUGGGAAAUGCUGCAACAUUAUAUGCCAGUAGGAAGUCCAGUGGAAGGGGCAGGCGGGGGUCAUUUGGACCAGAAGGCGUAACCAUGGCAGCGAAGUCCCCAUGUGCAGGAAGCUCUAUGCCCAUUGUGGGGCUGGAAAUCAGGACCUCAAGUUCAACAGUCUCCCGCCGGACCGACUGAGCCAGCCAGAUGCCCCAUACCGCCAUUUUAAAAUAAAGCCAUUAUCAUUACUCAAAGUCAAUGGAAUAUAAACAUUAUGCAUGUAAAGGCAUCAACAGAUAAGAGUUUAACACCGUUGGGUGCCUGAGUGGCUCAGUGGGUUAAGCAGCUGCCUUCAGCUCAGGUCAUGAUCUCAGGGUCCUGGGAUCGAGUCCUGCAUCGGGGGCUCUACUCAGCAGGGAGCCUGCUUCCCUCUAUCUCUCUCUCUGCCUGCCUCUCCGUCUACUUGUGAUCUCUCUCUGUCAAAUAAAUAAAUAAAAUCUUUAAAAAAAAAUUUAAAAAAAGAGUUUAACA